rnacentral:rRNA from 1 species
UGGGGAAUUUUGGACAAUGGGGGCAACCCUGAUCCAGCCAUGCCGCGUGCGGGAAGAAGGCCUUCGGGUUGUAAACCGCUUUUAGCCGGGAAGAAAAGGCGGAGACUAAUACUCUCCGUUCUUGACGGUACCGGCGGAAUAAGCACCGGCUAACUACGUGCCAGCAGCCGCGGUAAUACGUAGGGUGCGAGCGUUAAUCGGAAUUACUGGGCGUAAAGCGUGCGCAGGCGGUUCGUUAAGUCUGAUGUGAAAGCCCCGGGCUCAACCUGGGAACUGCAUUGGAAACUGGCGGGCUUGAGUGUGGCAGAGGGGGGUGGAAUUCCGCGUGUAGCAGUGAAAUGCGUAGAGAUGCGGAGGAACACCGAUGGCGAAGGCAGCCCCCUGGGCCAACACUGACGCUCAGGCACGAAAGCGUGGGGAGCAAACA